rnacentral:tRNA from 1 species
AGAGAUGUAGCUCAGUGGUAGAGUGCUUGCCUAGCAAGUGGAGGACUUGGGUUCAAUCCCCAGUAUUACAA